UACAGAGGUCUCAAGCGUUGUUCGGAUUCAUUGGGCGUAAAGGGAGCGUAGGCGGAUAGUUUAGUCAGAGGUGAAAGCCCAGGGCUCAACCUUGGAAUUGCCUUUGAUACUGGCUAUCUUGAGUACGGAAGAGGUAUGUGGAACUCCGAGUGUAGAGGUGAAAUUCGUAGAUAUUCGGAAGAACACCAGUGGCGAAGGCGACAUACUGGUCCGUUACUGACGCUGAGGCUCGAAAGCGUGGGGAGCAAACAGG
rnacentral:rRNA from 1 species